CAAAAAGAGAUGGUUCGUGAUUUGAACAGAGAAAUUCUCAAAGAAAUCGGUAUUUCUACAGUAGGCGACUCAGUUGCGAUUUUAAAGUAUGCAAAAGAGAUAUCUUUCAUCUGUUGACUUUGCUGAAGAAAGUAAAAAGGUAGAAAACAUAAACUCUUCAGUCAAAAGCAUUUCUCUGUCAAAAACCAAGCAAGCAACUCUAGUUGUUGGGAAGUGUGGUGUUUUAAAAGUUGGACCUGAACUUGAAGUAUAGAUAUUGAAGAUCUCUCACAGAAAGUACUGUUGCCAGUGCAGGAAGUAAAAUGGCACCUUGACCACUAUGGGAAUAUCAUAGAAAAGCGUAAGGCAAAGACUGCAGCAAAGAAAUCAAGUCAAAGGAAUGACUGU